GUGAUCAACAAGAGAUUAUUUCAUGCAGUGCCAUAGUGAAACAGCAAGUAAGAAAAUUCAAGCCUAAGAAAGCAAAAACUUAUUGCACUAGGUAUCAGUGCUGAGUGAGUCAUACUGCUGACAGAUUCUGACAGAAACCCACUUUACCAAAUAGUGUGACAUUUCUGAUGCCAUUAGAGUUACUCCAGACUCUUCAGAUAUGUAGGUGAGACCAGACUUCUGAUAACUCCAGAUCUAUACUGGAUGGAGGCAUCUCCAGGGGGCUAUGCAAGAUAUCACUGCAGUAGAGCAAAUCAUUAUUUUCUCUCCAAUGACAGUUUCAAAAAUGACAAACCCAAAGAUCACUUUAGACUGUGCAAUGGCUUUUGAGAAAAAACAUAUUACAGGCUAUCUGACAGCUAUCUUAACUUGAACUGCCAGGAUUCAUUUUUCUCAGAACAUCUCAAGCACAGAUGAAGCAACUUUCUUCCAGCAGAAAAUCUGAUGAGCCUGAUCUAGUCUAAGCAGGAAUCUGAAGUAUUCAGUGCUGUGCACGUCCCCACACAGAGGGCCAAGGAAAGCUGUAUGUGUCAUUUCAAUCAACGGUUUACUAAAGGACUGAAUAUGAAUUAUUGCACAAGUGUGCCAUGGUGUGGCUCAGCACUUUGAACAACAAAUGCAAUCCUCCCUUGGGGGAACAGCGUUGCUGACAGAGGACACCUGCUGGUGGAAUGACUGGCCUUCGAAUCCUUUGUUAGCACAGAGAUGAAGGCUAUCGUUUCCUCUACGCUUGAAGCUGAAUCAGUGCUUCCAUGGAAAGAAAGAAUCCUAUCCACCUCCAGUCUCUUGCUCCUGCCUCAAACCAGCCUUGCUUUGGGCUAGCACAAGUAUUUGUGCAGUCAGGUGAUAGCCAGGACUGUAAGAACUGAAAAACAGCCUGGCCAAAACAACAAAAAAAAGAUUUAUUUUUCACUCUGCUCAUUUCUGCAGUAUACUCACAGAAAAACUUGUGCUAGCACAAGGAAGGACACAAUUUGGGUGUGAAAAUAAAUGAUCGGAGAAGGGCAGGACUGCUUCUUUCAAUGGCUAUACUUGCUUAUGUAGGCUGAAUCUGUUGUAUGAAGUACAGCCAAAGGAUAAUGUAUCUAAAAAUGCUUGAGUCACUCUGUAGCCUAGCUUGAUUCCCUCUUCUUUGGAAAAUGCAGCUCAGACUGUUAAGUCUGUUAGAGAGUUAAAAAAUUGGACAGCUUCCCCCAUGUGGAUAUUUACUGUGGGAGGUAACCUUGGGUAAAGUUCAGAAAAAAAAAUCAGGUGACAUACAUUCACUGAACACUCCGUGGAUUAUAUUAAAGUCUUUGUCAGUUUAACCGUGCACAGAGAAAGUAAUCGGAUCCUUGCAAGGCAAGGCUCAGCUUUGCGAGCCAGUGCAACUGAAAUGGGAGUGGGAUGAUACAGGUUAUGCUUUGCAUUUAUCUUGCUGGAAUAUGAUAGGACAGGAUUACAAGGAUAUAUCCCCAUUGCAGGAGAAGGAAUCAAGAUACUAGGACAGUGUGCUGCUCUGAUGUCAAGGACUGUGAACCAUUUGCAAGACAACUGUGAUCUUAACUGUGUUGUUAAUGUGAAGUUAAUGUAAAUAUAAAUGAGUUGGUAACUAUCCACUGGAAUCAUUUUUACUUCAAAUGUACUGAUGGAUAAAAGCUUCCUUUAUGUUAGCAUGUAAUUUAUCUUGCUUAGACUACAGAAAUGCAUGUUUACAGACAGUUCUUUGGAAUCCUCCCCAGAGUGAUACCUUUAAUAGGUUUCAGUCAUUUCAUCUGUCAGGCUUGGGAGAUUACAAAUAUGAAAAGGAAAACAAGCUGCUAGCAAGGUGUUACUUUUUGACUUUGUUAUUAGAAUCAAAGGUUUCUGCUGAAGUGAAUCUGUGAUAUUUUGUAAUAAUUUUGUAAUGAAGCAAUGAACCAAGCAAAAGUGACCAACAUUAAUUGGGACCCAUCUAAUCUGAUGGUUCGGAAGAGAGAGCAGUUCACUAAGAAAGAUUGCCAGGGGUAUGGAGGAUGUGAGACAGCUGCCUGAAAUAUAGCUAACUGCAAUAACAGCAGCACAGCAGAGCUGUAGUGCAAGCGCUGAGUAGGCCUGUAGACAUUUAUAAUGUAGACAUUUAUAAUGAAUUAGUCUGGGAUGAAGAGAUAAAGAGGGCCUUGUAAAAUCACAUAAGAAGCCAGAACAAACAGUUCAAAGGAAAGUAUUACUUGCAAGGUGUGUAACCUUACCAGGGGAAUCGAGGUCAUUCUAACUCUGCAGCAAAGAUGUACCUGUUUUAAGAAAUGCAGUAAAAUCCUUUGUGUGUGAAGCAUGUCAGAAGCGUUUUGAUAAGCAGCACGAAGCCUAAAAAAUAUAUAACUUAAGCCAGUAAAUAGGGACAGGACUUAUGAGAUCAAACCUCAUUAGUCACCAAAGUGACCGAGUUACCCAGUUUAUCAUCACCCCCCAACUGAACCGUGGUAAUUUAAUGUAUGGACUCUUCCAGCAAGUUUCAGUCAUCAAAUAAAACAUGUGACCUUCACUCACCUUCAAGACAACCUGUUUAGGAGCUCUGCAUAGUUGCAAAGGUAACAUAAAUUUAAUGAGAAAGUAUAUAUGUAUUAAUUUGCUACUGGCUGAAAUGGUGGGUAAGGAAGACUUUCUUCCUGCUAAACAUUUGGGGGGUUGUAUUUUUAUACAUGUGGACUCUGGGAUGACUUUCUACUGCCUCGUGUGAGUGAAAUAUGAGAAGCCAGGGAAGUGCUAUGAUGGUAGAAGUGUAAUGAAAGAGAAAAGUCCUUCAGAUGUGAGAUAUACAUAGCUAUGAACUCAUACCUCAUUUUUCAGCUGUUUUAUGCACCAUUAAGUACUUUAGCAGCCUGACAUACAUUCAGUCAGGCACCGAUUGCAUCCUCAGAGCUCUUUACAGACUUAACUUUUGGGUUGCUCCUGCCUUAAUCUGAAUUUCAUGUAAAAUAUAUUCGAAAAGGUGUGUUUGUUUUGUCUGUGUACAUGACGAAACAUAACCCUAGGAGAGACAUCUUAAUAUCCAAAACAAUGCAACAGGAUAUAGUGUCCUAACACACAGACUGUACCAGAGCACCAGUAUUCAGCAUCACAGACACUUCUUGCCAGGAAUUUGGGUUUUUUUUCUGGUUGACAGUCUAAUACUAGCCAAGACAAAACUUGAGAGCAGGAAAGAGUUAGACAAAGCUGUCUUUGCAUUAUAUAAUGAAUUAGAACAGGCUAAGCUGGGAAAACUAUAAAAUGUAAAAUGCUAUAAAAUUGCAUAGAAUAGGUGUGUUAAUUAGGAGCUAAUUAUGUCGUGUGAGCAAUUGACUCACAGGUGUUCUGAGUUUUAGAAAGAGACAGGGAUUUACAAGGUAAUGAUGACAGUGUCUGUGUCUGUGAUGGGCAGAAAUGUGGGGUUCUAUUUCCUGUUGAGGAGAAUAAAUGAAGCUGAACUUGUUCUCUGCCCAGUAUUAAAUAACCUAACCUGGCCUUUUGAGGGCAAUUAUAAUUUGCCGUAAAGCAAGCGAUGCAGCUAGCAGAUUCAGUAUUUAAAGGAUAACCAGGGUUCAUAUCUGCAUGGCAUGAGUUGUACCAUUAAUUUGUGUAUCAUUACUGAGUGUGGUCUCUCUUGCUACUCCAGAAGUAACACAAAUUGAAAGUAAUAUGCCUGAAGAAGAGAAAUGGAAGGAAUAAUAUUAGUUAACACCAGCAUCUGAGGUUGCAUAAAGAAAUGAAAGUACUGAGGCUUUCUUCUUUUCUCCUGUGUGAAUGCAUACGUUGUUUUCAUAGAGUAAGAGAAAAUAACAGCACAGACUGAGGGGUUGGGCAACUGGGAAUGCAAAAUGUCGAACUAGAAAGUGCCUCUAGUAACUUGAUGUUACAGCGGUCUACAUCAAAGCUUUUUUUCAUAGUAGUAUUAAGCCCUAUUUGAAUACAACUAUGGUGGUUUAUCUUCAUGCUCCUGUCAGAAGACUAUUUUAGAAUGUCAAUCCUCCAGCACCAGAACUUUGAAAUAUCCAAGUGCUUAGGCUGCACUAUCAUUGUUACAUUGUAGUUGUGUAAAUAGGAAUGAGUUACUUGGUGUAUUUGUCAUUGCUUGAAAAAUAAAAGAGAGAAAUGAGGGAAAUCCUAGGCAUUUUCCCUUUUCACUGUAUUUUGAUUAUGCAUUAAUGGUUACAGUUGUUCUUCUAACCUUAAAAUAGAUAACUGGAAACAAACAUACAUAAAGAAACUUAAAAGGAGUUUUUAAUCUUUAGGCAGUGACUAGAAGUGCCUAAAAUGCUUGAGUAAGUGAAAAACAAGUAAAUUAGCCCAACUUUGGAUGUAGAUAAAUCAUGUGUGUUUGACCAUAAGUACGAACUAAGAGUCUUAGAAAUUUAUUUCCAGCUAAAAGGUAUAAGUCACACAUGUAAAACUAAGUCCUAUUUAUGUUUUGAACCAAUAACAGGAGACAGAUCAUUUGCAUUUCAAAGGCUUAGUCAGCCUCCGUCAGAGCCUUCUUAUAUCUUCAGACAAAUUCAAUUUAACACCAUUAUUUUCCAUAAAUGUGUUAUUUUCCUGCACAGUUACUAUGUAGAGUUUACCAGAGAAAAACCAAAUGAUCCGAAUGUGCCUUCUGCAUGAAGGUGCUCUCUGAAUAUAGAUGGGAAAAGUGGGCAUUUUCCUCACAGUGUAUGUUCAGUUGCUGUACUUUUCCAGGAACUCCUGUAAGUUUCUUGUUUAAUACACACUCAAAUACAUGUCAUGCAGAGCAAAGAAAGCCAUCUUAAGUAUUCUGGGAAUCUGCCUUGAGGAGCAAUUGCAAAAGCUUUGACCAUCUGUAGACAGGGAGAGGGUUCCUAGACAGAGAUGGAUGGAAGCGGAUUGGCACUGUGAAGAAAAAUAGGCUGAUGCCAGCAGCCAUUUCACACUGAUCAGCUUGAAAAUUGCAUGUACAUUUGAUUUCAAUCAUAUUUGUCUGCUUUCUCUUUUCAUAUAUUAAAAUGUAGUAAUAAUAUUCUAUUUGCUAUUUAUCUUAGUAAAAGGGAGAAGAAAGCUCGCAGUAGGGGGAUACAAAAGAGGAUAUUAGGAGAUCACAGAAUAAUGAUAAAGUAAAAACUGCUGCUGCUCAGGCUGAUAUCGACUAUGCAAAGGAAAUGAGAACAAAGCAUUGUGGAGAGAAAAAGAAAAGAAGAAAUGGGCAGUGUUGUAGAAAGAAUGGGAUUAAGUUAAGCACAGUUUGCCUCAGUUUUCAUUGAAGAUUGCAGCUGAAGGUAGCCUGCCCUAUAGAAAUAGUUGGACACGGAAACUAGAUGGAGAAGGUGGCCCUAAAGGUAAAAGAACACCCAGUGCUCAGCUAGGGGAGCAGGAUAUUCUCCAUCCCAGAACUCUGACUCAAGGUGACGAAGUUUUUUUUUUCUUUUUUUUUAAUGAAUUCCAAAUUGAGGUGCCAUAAAUACCAUGACCACAGAAUAACAAAUGCAACAACUUAUCUAAGAAUUUCUUUUUAAGUCAGUUGUGCAAAUAUCUUCUGACCUUAGGAUGCACAAACUUCUGAAAACUGACAGAGGAAAAUACAGAUAUUGUGUGGUGACAGAUAGCAGACUGAAGCAAACUAACCUCUAGACACAUGCUUGGUAUGACAGAUGAUUAUGUUUUUAAGACACCGAAAGUAGAAGAGUUUUGAUGUAACUAAACUUCAGCACAGUAUCUGAGUAUGUUACUGCCAGAAAAAAUUUAUUACUUAAACCAAAGAAGACCUGACUUAAUAGAAAAAUUAUAAAGUGGGUAAAAAGCUGCUCAAAGGACAAUCUGGAGACAGCUGACUGGGGGGAGGUAACAAGGGACAGGCGUUGGGCUGAUCUUUCCUAAUACUUGUACAAAAAUUCAGGAAUGUAUUAGUGAAAUGUGCUCAUACACUGUGAGACCAAAAAUUUGUACAGGAGAAACUUAAAUAAUUUUAAGCAUUGCAGAAAUAGCAAUUGAAUUAAAUGUACUAGUACCACUUGUGUGGGCACGAAUUUAGGGACUGAGAGCAAGAAAUUCUGAUGGAGGCAUAGUAUUUGUCAGCUGGAAAUAAGAGACUAGAAAGACCUGUGUGUUGAUCACAGAAGGGCUGUGAACUGCCAAAAGUUAGGUGGCGUGCAAAAGGCAAAUGUAAUCUCAGGAUGUAUCAAGUCAGGUAUUUCCAGCAGAGGAAAAGAAAGAGAAUGCCAUUCUCAAGAGUCAGGAGAGGGGCUUCAUCUAAAAUGCUCUGUACAGACAACACAGAAAGACAGUCAUACUAGAAGAGGUGCUACAAAGCGCUGCUAUAACAGACAGGGGAGCAGAGGGAAUACCAGCAAAAUUCUUACCAUAGGAGAUUUGUGAAUUAUUUCAUUUUGCUGAGCCCAUUAAAUAGGAACCCUGUCUACAGAUAUCACAAAGGAUGAUAUCAGCAAAAAAAGAAUCACAUUAAAAGAUGAUGUUGGCUAAAGGGCAAACAUGUUGAAGUGCAGUUCCGUACAUCUUUGCAUAACUGAGGAAGAAACUAGCUUAAGUGUCUGAAGAUGGAGCUUGAUAGUCAUAAAAAAUUUAUCUUGUGCUUGCUUGCUAAGGGAGGGAACUUCAUGACAUCUUACGUUCUUAUGUGAAAGUGUCAUCCGAAUGCUUAGUAUGGUCUUUGAACAUAAGAACUCUCUCUGCUUGAGUUAUUCAUAAACUCAUCUCAAUUCUCUAGCUGUGUUCCAGAAGUAUAAAUAGAGAGUGUACACAAGUGAUUAUCUAUAGAAGGGAUGAUCUUGAAAUUAUUAUAUCUCCAGCCAAUUGUAUUUCCUUUCCUUGAUUGUACUUGUGUUUGUUUAGAUUAUGAACUGAUUAUUCCUCUGUAUUUGACACCGUCUCAUGCACUGUAUUUGUCUAUUCCAGCUGCUUAUCAUACAUAGGCACUCCUCUAGUAAAGAGAACACGUAACUGGAGAAGUUCUGCAUCUGCUCCAGUAAUCCCACUGACUGGCCACAUACAUUACAGUUUAGAGAAACCAUACAGUUCAAGAGAACUCACUGACUGAGUCCAGAGUGAAUCCCAUACAAAACUGAGAGUCAUUAAGGAAGCUCAGAGCCAUUUUUGGAGCUCCCUGGAGAAGCUGGGGAAGGAGAGCAGCCUCUGCCUCAUGGCAAGUGAGGCAGAGGUGAUGCUGAAAACAGAGGAGCCUGGCACUGUCAUGAGAAUAUCAAGGUGGGCACAUUGCAGGGUCCAAAACCCAGCAGUUGAAGAGGGCUCUGACUGAGCUGCUUAGCUACUGGUAUCUUUGUAGCAUUGCUGUCCUUUGCAAACUGAGGCAUGCAUCCCUCCAUGUGUUGUCACUUUUCACACAUUGCUACAAAACACGAUGCUGGUUUGACAGGCAGGAGGUUUCUAGUAAAGCCCCUGGUUGCCUGAACAAAGCUAUUCUAGUGAAUGGCAAAUAAACAGCUAGAAUAUUACAAAGAAAAGAUAGAAUAAAGCUACUGCCAAUAAGUUUUAAGAAGUGUAAAAAUGAGGAAAGACUGGCUGUUAAUUUCAUUUAAAUGACUACUCUUAUUUCUAUUCUAAUCAUCUAUUCUAAUUCCAUGUAAUCACAAUAUUGCGUUGAUUAGCUCACUGAAAUGUAAUCUGAUUAGUGGUUCACAAGGUUGCAUGUAAUGUAACUGAUUAUGCUAGUGCACAGCAUCUCUGAGUUGUUGGUUCUGUAUUGUUGCUCCUCUUAAUGAAUUGUCUGUGCAUAAAAAUUCACUGAAUAAAACUGAUUAUCUA